GCUCUGCUCACGGUGUAAUGAGGUGAACAUCUCAAGGCUAAUUUGUUUAGUAAUCAUUCAACUUCGCGUCUGGUGUUUGUUAAACCCAAUGGAGCCAGUGAGUCUUGGUGGGACAGGAGAGGCUAGCUGCAUUUAUUCGGUGGUGUGUGCUUCACAGCGUGCUCAGUGUGCCAACACGACACCUUUUCUUAUGCUGUAGGUAGUGUUUGAUGAUUUUGGUGUGACUUGCAGUGGGUUUGGAUGACUUCCUGAGCUGUAGCUGACCUGCCUUGUUCCUGACAAGCCUGGGCCUAGAGAACUGCUCAGUUUUAAAAUCCUUAUUGUGUUUCAUGGGAGAGAUUUGAUAUUUACAUGUCAAGGUUUAAUGAUGCUUAAGUGUCAUAAUAAAAUAUAAUUUUUUAUAUUCA